CGCAUGGUUCGCCCGGGCGGGGCCUGACCGCCGGUGGAGUUCAUCGACGACAACAGGGCGGAGCCUGUGGUCGAGCCGAUCUGCCGGGUCCUGGACCGGCCCAGGGCUGCAGAUCGCCUCG
rfam:Propionibacterium acidifaciens F0233 ctg1127964738425, whole genome shotgun sequence.